CACAGACAUUCAGAUCAUGGCAGAACUGUCACAGAUGUUACUUUGUGAAAACACAAAGAAUAAUGUGUUUGGAGAGAUCAGUCUUCAAUUAGCUAUAUUUUCUAGGAGCCUACCUUUACUUAGCCUCACAACAUGGGCCUUAGCUUUAGCACUUAAUCUGCACAAAUACCUGGCUUAAGUGUUAUGACUGACUGGCUAUUCAACCAAACCAUACAAAUGACCAAUUCGGUAAGAAAGCAUGAACUUCAGUGUUGAACCAAAUCAACCAACCUCCUCAAUCCAAAUGGACCUCUAUCUUCUUCCUUCAAUUAAAG
rnacentral:lncRNA from 1 species